GCCUGUUUGGCUCAGUGGAUAGAGCAUUGACCUGUGGACUUAAAGGUCCCGGGUUCAAUUCCUGGUCAGGGCA
rnacentral:tRNA from 1 species